AACCACAGUCCUUAUAAUACAUAUCAACAUAACCAAUAACCAAGUUUAAAAAUAUUGCAAAUACAUUACUAUUAGGUUAGAAAAACAUCCACAUCUGUUAGCAACUUCCAUUUUUUAGGUUCCAAACUUCUAGUUAUAUAGAAAUAUAUACACAACCCCAAUUGAUUGCUUUACAUGAAAAGGAAGAAGAUGAGAAAAGAAACAAAGCCUAAAAGAGAGAAAAAGAACUUUCGUAUCAUAAAAAAAUUAUCAACCAAAAUAUGGUUUACCUGGAUGAGGGAAGGGAGAAGUUGAUGGUGAUGUCUAGAUUUGACCUGAUCAUCUGUUCAAACAAACAAAAAAACCUAUAGAAAAUAAUAUGUCAGUUGUACUAUUUUUUAUGUGUAGAAACCAAAACUAACAAAAGAGGGAAGUCGGAGAAGAUAUCCAAAAGACUUCAAGAAACACACACACACAUAUGAUAUUAGAUCAAAUCUACAUCAAAAUCAAAGAUUUAUGCAACUAAACAAAAAAAGAAACUUUAAAUGGCGAAGGAGAGAAGAAUUACCUUCUCUAUGGAUCACAUCACCUGAAAUAAAAAAAAAAUAAAGAUGAAAACUAAGAGGGUUAGUGAAAUGUUAGACCAUUUGACAGUGUUACCUGUAUGUUGGUGAAUACGAAUAAGAAAAGAGAUGCAGAAGCGACCUGAAAUCAGAUGAUGACAGAAUCAAGAGAAUAUGAAUAUAACCUGAAAAAAGAGAGAAGGUCGUGAUGGUCCGACAUCAUUUUUAUCGAAAAUCAUUUGGUGAAGGAUGAAGAUGGAUAAAAAGAGUAGCCUGAGAAAUUGGGCGUAGUGGAAGAUGGGAGAUGAAGUCAUCUUCUGUUCCUGGACGGUGAGAUUUAUAGCAGGGGAGGGAACAAAGAUGUAUCUGCAAUGGGAGGAAUAUUGAUGCCUAUAAAGAUCGAUACUACGAUUUUAAGGUUGAGUUUAACCUCUUUUAGCCAUAAUCAUUACAUCAAGGUGUUGUUUCCAGGAAGAAUCAUCGGCUGCCUCUUCGUAUUUUGGCUAGAGUUUUGAGAAAGUGAGAGGGAGGUUACCAAGAUAGAGAGGGAUGAAGGAUACGAGACUGGA
rnacentral:lncRNA from 1 species